ACCCUAAUUUCAGAAACAACCGGAUUCUGCAAAAAUGAAUAUUAGAAAAAAUACAGGACCAAGCAAUUAAUAAUAGAUUCUGAUCUUUAAACACUGGACAUAAAUUAUCCGGGGUGAAACAAAAAUGUACGCCAACCCAUCAUGUAGCCACCUGACCAAAAAGCCUCUUUCGGAUCUGCAGUGGGAAGCAAACAUGGUUAUAGUAAUUGCUACAAAACAAAGUAAGGAUAUAAUGUGUGUUGGGCAAAUGGUAGGUUUAUGCAAAGUUACUACAUAUAGCACAGCUACAGAAGAUGUUAAUUUAAUUAUAUGAUUUACGCUGUUUGAAUUUUGAUUGGCUAUUCCAAAAAUUACUAAAUUUCAGCAAUUUGCAGAUAUGAAAAAACACCAGCCAAACAACCAAGUCCCACUAUUAACCUCUGAAAGUCUAGAUAGGGGGAAAAAAAAGGGAGAAAAGCAACAGAAAGAGAGCUGCUCUACUCAGAUUAAUGAAAACAUAUUGAAUUAUGAAUAGAUGAGGCUUGGUGAAGAAGCUCCAAAUCUUACAAUGGUAACAACUUAGAAAAAGAAAAACUGGUGAAGCAUUUUUAAAGCUUGAUCAAUUUAAAUGCCAAAAUUUCAUGUCUCCCCUGAAAGUCAUACCAGGAAAAUAGGGAGGAAAAAACACAACUAAAGAAGAACAGAUUUGGUUUAAUACCAGAUGCGGGACGCCAAUGCCCAAAGUAUCAUUUAGAGAUCACUGCCUCGUACUUCUUUGUGAAAGUAAGUCCUCAGAUUUAAAGGUGUAAACAAACCAAGCUAAACCAAGUACAAAGAUGUUCUAGCUGGAUUUAUUUAAUUUUUAGCUUGAGUUUGAAAUCAAAGCUUAAAAUGAGAUUAGUGAGUUUUAAUUUAAUUGUCAAGCUUGAGCCAAGUUUAAUGCUCUAACCAAGCCUAAAUAAAAACAAAACGUUUUACGUAUUUUAAAUAUUUUAUAUUAAAUAAUAAUACUUUAACUACACAGGACUCUUGUUAAGGGUGGGUCCAACUUUACUUACAAGAGAGGAACACUCCUUUCAUAUUGUUUUACAGUCAAUGUGAUACAAAAUUCCAUGUUUUCUCAUGAUUCACGUUUCCUUAUUCAUGCACCCAUUCAAAAACAAAUAUCUUAUACUAAUAAUUUAUUUUUCAUAUAUUAUUGUCAGAAUCCCAAACUGAAUAUGACUUGAGGCAACAUUCUACUAAAUCUAUCAUUAAAACACUAAAUUUUGAUAGUUUCAAUUUGCUUAUCUAUUAAGUUUUUAAAGAGUAACUAAACAAGCAGUCUGUCCACAAACAUAAUAGAGCCAAGCUCACCUUUGUUCAUGUUCAUUCAUUUAUUAACCGAGCCCCAAGAAAAAAAAAAUCAAACUUUUUCAUUUAACUCAACAAACAGAUAUAAAUAAUUUUUUAUCAAGUAUUUUCAUGAGCCAUUCAUUGAGUGCACUAGUUUACUCACACCUCUAUUCAGAUUUAACAACUAGGAGCCAGCACUUUACUGAAAUCACUCAAAACUUCUCUAUUCAUUGGAUUAUCCAGUGAUAGCAAAGAAACCCAUUUAAACCAACUCACACUUGGAUAUAGAAUGACAGAAAACUAAAAGAAAAUGAUAUUCCAUAUGUGUAACCAAAAUAAUCCAAAUUGUUAAAAGGAUCUUAAGUUGGACAUAAUAGUAAAAGACCACUUUUUCCAAUUUUGAAUAGCGCCAAAAUCCUGAAAUAUUCAAUAAUAUAGAUACCAGGGAUUAUUUUUUCUUUAUCAAAGAAUGGCCAUUUUUCUCUCUUUUCUUCCCUUUUCUCAAUAUGAACUUCCUUUCUUUUUUUUCAUUUUCAAGAAUAAAUGGCGCAUCUAAAGAGUGCGGGAACAACAGAAACAGCAAAUGACAAUAAUAAAAAUAGUUUAAUGAAGCAUACCUCAGGAAGCUUUUUACGGAACACGACAUCCAACCGUGCAUCAAGGGUAUUCUCACACACAAUUUUCCCAUCUCGAGAAGCCAGGACUACACCUCCAGAGCAGUAAGGACCAUGGGCAUUAUAAUGGCUAGGAGCAGGUGGAAGAUAGACACGAUUAUCAACUAUGAUUUCUGGCGCAUGAACAUUUACUUUCUCUGCAUAUUCCUGCUUUGCUGAAUCCAGGAUAGACUCCACCAAAUGCAGGUCAUCUUUUCGGCAGCGCAGCAAGACAGAAGGCUCCUUCAGCCUGAGCAAACUCUGAACUAUCAGAUCUUUCAGAAGCUCUUUAUACACAUGAUGAUCACCGCUCACAUUCAGAAGAUCCUUUCCUGCUGCCUCUUUCAUGGCAUUAACCACAUCAUCUUGGGCUUGAAGAACUUUAAUUCGAGAAGCAUUAAGCUGCAUGGAGUACUCACUGCCAAAAACAAAUACCAAGAAAUUUCAUCUAUACAAUUUCUGGUGACACAAGGGUAGCCUCUAUUAUUUGUCAAAACUAAUUGACAGAAAAGAAGCAGGAGGGAGUUCUCAUUCAACAUACACUAGCGAUGGUAAACUCCACAAUUUCAAACUCGACUAACAAUAUACAAAAUGAAUCAUCCUAUUUUCAUAAAAUCUAUAAAAAUGUAAAGCAAUCAUAAAUCUUUUACCAACUUUGUUGUGCAAUUGCCCUGGUUGAAGUUGGUAUCUUCUCUAUAGACCUUGACUCAACAGGCUAGCUGAUCUCAAAAAUUAUGGGCUAAAGACAUCAGAAAUUGAGUAAAAAGGGAAAAACAAACUAAGAAACUCACUGAUUGCCUUCAUUGAACACAAACAACAAAGUAUAACUAUCAAAAUACCAAGUAACUGAUCUCCUAGAACUCAUGUUCCAACUGAAUCAAUCUAUACAAUAGAAAAACGCCAAUUCAACAAAGAGUAUAGAUAUAUUACAUCUUCUUUCGAACUUCGACUUGCUUCUCUUUACGCUCAUACUCUUGCCUGAUCUUCUUCUUCUCUGCCUCUACCAGCUGCAACUUUUCAAUAUUGAAUUCUUCUUCAGCAGAAACUGAUAUCUCGUUGGCCUUCUCUUCGGCUUCCUGG
rnacentral:misc_RNA from 1 species